ACCCAGACUCCUACGGGAGGCAGCAGUGGGGAAUAUUGCACAAUGGGGGAAACCCUGAUGCAGCAACGCCGCGUGAGUGAGGAAGUAUUUCGGUAUGUAAAGCUCUAUCAGCAGGGAAGAAAAUGACGGUACCUGAGUAAGAAGCCCCGGCUAACUACGUGCCAGCAGCCGCGGUAAUACGUAGGGGGCAAGCGUUAUCCGGAUUUACUGGGUGUAAAGGGAGCGUAGACGGCAGUGCAAGUCUGGAGUGAAAGGCGGGGGCUCAACCCCCGGACUGCUCUGGAAACUGUACGGCUGGAGUGCAGGAGAGGUAAGUGGAAUUCCUAGUGUAGCGGUGAAAUGCGUAGAUAUUAGGAGGAACACCGGUGGCGAAGGCGGCCUGCUGGACUGUAACUGACGUUGAGGCUCGAAAGCGUGGGGAGCAAACAGGAUUAGAUACCCGUGUACU
rnacentral:rRNA from 1 species